rnacentral:rRNA from 1 species
AGAGUUUGAUCCUGGCUCAGGAUGAACGCUAGCGGCAGGCCUAACACAUGCAAGUCGAGGGGUAGUAGGUGCUUGCACUUAUGAGACCGGCGCACGGGUGCGUAACGCGUAUGCAAUCUACCUUUUACUGAGGGAUAGCCCAGAGAAAUUUGGAUUAAUACCUCAUAGUAUUAUUGAGUGGCAUCAUUUGAUAAUUAAAGUUCCAACGGUAAAAGAUGAGCAUGCGUCCCAUUAGUUAGUUGGUAAGGUAACGGCUUACCAAGACUAUGAUGGGUAGGGGUCCUGAGAGGGAGAUCCCCCACACUGGUACUGAGACACGGACCAGACUCCUACGGGAGGCAGCAGUGAGGAAUAUUGGACAAUGGGCGCAAGCCUGAUCCAGCCAUGCCGCGUGCAGGAAGACGGUCCUAUGGAUUGUAAACUGCUUUUAUACAGGAAGAAACACUCCCUCGUGAGGGAGCUUGACGGUACUGUAGGAAUAAGGAUCGGCUAACUCCGUGCCAGCAGCCGCGGUAAUACGGAGGAUCCAAGCGUUAUCCGGAAUCAUUGGGUUUAAAGGGUCCGUAGGCGGCCUUAUAAGUCAGUGGUGAAAUCUCCUAGCUCAACUAGGAAACUGCCAUUGAAACUGUAGGGCUUGAAUUAUUAGGAAGUAACUAGAAUAUGUAGUGUAGCGGUGAAAUGCUUAGAUAUUACAUGGAAUACCAAUUGCGAAGGCAGGUUACUACUAAUGGAUUGACGCUGAUGGACGAAAGCGUGGGUAGCGAACAGGAUUAGAUACCCUGGUAGUCCACGCCGUAAACGAUGGAUACUAGCUGUUCGGAGCAAUCUGAGUGGCUAAGCGAAAGUGAUAAGUUCCCCCCUGG